GCGGGCGUAGCUCAGCUGGUAGAGCGCCUCCUUGCCAAGGAGAAGGUCAGGAGUUCGAAUCUCCUCGCCCGCU
rnacentral:tRNA from 1 species